AACCCCAUCUCCGCUAAAAAUACAAAAAUUAGCCAGGCUCAGUGGUGGGCGCCUGUAAUCCCAGCUACUCAGGAGGCCGAGGUGGGAGAAUCACUUGAAUCCGGGAGGCAGAGGUUGCAGUGAGCUGAGAUCUCACCACUGCACUCCAGCCUGGGCGACAGAGCAAGACUUCGUCUCAGAAAAAAAAACCAAAAAAACCCAGCAGAGUCAGCUUGACUAGUGCUGUCCUCUGGGGCCACCUGCUCAAGGGCAUUUUGUCCUUUGCUCCUCCCAGUCUGGUGUCCCAUACCCUAAAAUCGCCCUCCCUUACCACCACCCCGCCUUCCCUGCUGGCCUCCUUCAAGCCAAGCUUCUUGAAGGUGUUCUUUGCACUCGGGCCUGGCCUGCACUCCCGACUCAGCCCCCAUUGAUGCCUUGUUCAUUCCUGCCCAGCCCACUGGGCCUGGCCUCUUCCCGGCCUCCUGUGACAAAAUCCUCAGGUGAGCGCUUGGCUGUCCUUAAUCCACUGGCCAUCCCUGCUUUCUAGAGCACUGCCUUGGCCUCCAUGACCUCCCGCGCCCCGAAGUUCUUCCGCCCUGCUAGCUGCCCUUCUCAGCCUACAGUGUGUGCUUUUCUUCCACUGCACCCUCCCCCGGUAUCCCUGGCCCUGAGUCCCCCACAAGUUCACCUUCUGCCAUGGCACACGUUCUCCUGCAGCGUCUGUCUCCCCCCAUGUGGAAAACUCUCUUUUAAGCUUCAGUUUCUGCUGCCUCUACCCUCCAUGUUAACAGUCCCAGCUCCUGGGAGCAGGGACACAUUGUCCCAGGACACGUGUAAAAUGCCACAGGGGCCAGCUAGCUCACUGGUUGUCCCUGGCUCAGAAGCUCCCCCAAUGCUGUCAGCUGUUGGUGGGGAGGGCGGGAGCAGAUGACGGGAAACAGGUCUGCCUGGGCAGCAGGCAGGUGCCCCUGGAAGGGGUUGCUUGUGGUGCAGGCCCCCAGCCUGGGCCUGCCCGGCAUAUGCUGUUAGCAGCGCAUUUGUUUUCUCGAGUCCUUUGGAGGCAAGAACCUCAAGCGCGUGGGGAUCAUACUUCAGAGAGGGAUCCUCAUCCUUACGCUGUGCUGCUUUCCCUGCUGGGCCGACUUUGUCAACGCCGAGAGCAUCCUCCUGCUCUUAAAACAAGACCCUAAGUCUCCAGGAUUUGGGGAGUGCUGCAUUCCAGCACCCUCGGAGCUGUUCGAAAUGUCAAGAUGGUGGCUUCUGCCUCAGCCAGUUGGAAUGUGCCUGCGUCAGUUCUUCAGGGAGUACAUCUUUUAUCCACUCUGGAAAAUUCCAAAUAGUGUCCUAGCAUUGUCUCACGUGAGUGAGGUUCUCUGAGAUCACACAUCAAGGGGGAGUGUCUUAUUUAAGAUUAAAAACCGGAACUAAACUAAACCGUUGGAAUUUAUAUUAAUGAGAAGUGUUUGUUUUUCUUUUUAAACUUACAGGCAGCAUUCUUGUUCCAGCUGCAGAAAAGAUAUUUACAAAGUCAGGGCGUCAUCAUGCCUUAAGUUAUUACCAGGAUUGCAGCUAAUGUCAUCAACGUGGUCAUAAAUGUCCUCUUGCUCUAUGCCCUGGACCUCAGAGUGGUGU